rnacentral:rRNA from 1 species
GUGACUGCGUACCUUUUGUAUAAUGGGUCAGCGACUUAUAUUCUGUAGCAAGGUUAACCGUAUAGGGGAGCCGGAGGGAAACCGAGUCUUAAUUGGGCGUUAAGUUGCAGGGUAUAGACCCGAAACCCGGUGAUCUAGCCAUGGGCAGGUUGAAGGUUGGGUAACACUAACUGGAGGACCGAACCGACUAAUGUUGAAAAAUUAGCGGAUGACCUGUGGCUGGGGGUGAAAGGCCAAUCAAACCGGGAGAUAGCUGGUUCUCCCCGAAAGCUAUUUAGGUAGCGCCUCGUGAAUUCAUCUCCGGGGGUAGAGCACUGUUUCGGCUAGGGGGCCAUCCCGGCUUACCAACCCGAUGCAAACUGCGAAUACCGGAGAAUGUUAUCACGGGAGACACACGGCGGGUGCUAACGUCCGUCGUGAAGAGGGAAACAACCCAGACCGCCAGCUAAGGUCCCAAAGUCAUGGUUAAGUGGGAAACGAUGUGGGAAGGCCCAGACAGCCAGGAUGUUGGCUUAGAAGCAGCCAUCAUUUAAAGAAAGCGUAAUAGCUCACUGGUCGAGUCGGCCUGCGCGGAAGAUGUAACGGGGCUAAACCAUGCACCGAAGCUGCGGCAGCGACACUGUGUGUUGUUGGGUAGGGGAGCGUUCUGUAAGCCUGUGAAGGUGUGUCGUGAGGCAUGCUGGAGGUAUCAGAAGUGCGAAUGCUGACAUAAGUAACGAUAAAGCGGGUGAAAAGCCCGCUCGCCGGAAGACCAAGGGUUCCUGUCCAACGUUAAUCGGGGCAGGGUGAGUCGACCCCUAAGGCGAGGCCGAAAGGCGUAGUCGAUGGGAAACGGGUUAAUAUUCCCGUACUUGGUGUUACUGCGAAGGGGGGACGGAGAAGGCUAUGUUGGCCGGGCGACGGUUGUCCCGGUUUAAGCGUGUAGGUGUGUGUUCCAGGUAAAUCCGGUCCACUUUAACACUGAGGCGUGAUGACGAGGCACUACGGUGCUGAAGCAACAAAUGCCCUGCUUCCAGGAAAAGCCUCUAAGCAUCAGGUAACAUCAAAUCGUACCCCAAACCGACACAGGUGGUCAGGUAGAGAAUACCAAGGCGCUUGAGAGAACUCGGGUGAAGGAACUAGGCAAAAUGGUGCCGUAACUUCGGGAGAAGGCACGCUGACACGUAGGUGAAGUGAUUUACUCACGGAGCUGAAGUCAGUCGAAGAUACCAGCUGGCUGCAACUGUUUAUUAAAAACACAGCACUGUGCAAACACGAAAGUGGACGUAUACGGUGUGACGCCUGCCCGGUGCCGGAAGGUUAAUUGAUGGGGUCAGCGCAAGCGAAGCUCCUGAUCGAAGCCCCGGUAAACGGCGGCCGUAACUAUAACGGUCCUAAGGUAGCGAAAUUCCUUGUCGGGUAAGUUCCGACCUGCACGAAUGGCGUAAUGAUGGCCAGGCUGUCUCCACCCGAGACUCAGUGAAAUUGAACUCGCUGUGAAGAUGCAGUGUACCCGCGGCAAGACGGAAAGACCCCGUGAACCUUUACUAUAGCUUGACACUGAACAUUGAGCCUUGAUGUGUAGGAUAGGUGGGAGGCUUUGAAGCGUGGACGCCAGUCUGCGUGGAGCCGACCUUGAAAUACCACCCUUUAAUGUUUGAUGUUCUAACGUGGACCCGUAAUCCGGGUUGCGGACAGUGUCUGGUGGGUAGUUUGACUGGGGCGGUCUCCUCCUAAAGAGUAACGGAGGAGCACGAAGGUUGGCUAAUCCUGGUCGGACAUCAGGAGGUUAGUGCAAUGGCAUAAGCCAGCUUGACUGCGAGCGUGACGGCGCGAGCAGGUGCGAAAGCAGGUCAUAGUGAUCCGGUGGUUCUGAAUGGAAGGGCCAUCGCUCAACGGAUAAAAGGUACUCCGGGGAUAACAGGCUGAUACCGCCCAAGAGUUCAUAUCGACGGCGGUGUUUGGCACCUCGAUGUCGGCUCAUCACAUCCUGGGGCUGAAGUAGGUCCCAAGGGUAUGGCUGUUCGCCAUUUAAAGUGGUACGCGAGCUGGGUUUAGAACGUCGUGAGACAGUUCGGUCCCUAUCUGCCGUGGGCGCUGGAGAACUGAGGGGGGCUGCUCCUAGUACGAGAGGACCGGAGUGGACGCAUCACUGGUGUUCGGGUUGUCAUGCCAAUGGCACUGCCCGGUAGCUAAAUGCGGAAGAGAUAAGUGCUGAAAGCAUCUAAGCACGAAACUUGCCCCGAGAUGAGUUCUCCCUGAGACUUAGAGUCUCCUGAAGGAACGUUGAAGACGACGACGUUGAUAGGCCGGGUGUGUAAGCGCAGCGAUGCGUUGAGCUAACCGGUACUAAUGAACCGUGAGGCUUAACCUUACAACGCCGAAG